AUGAGUUUUGUGUAUUUCUGCUCAGGAUGAACGCUGGCGGCGUGCCUAAUACAUGCAAGUCGAACGCGCAGCGAGAGGUGCUUGCACCUUUCAAGCGAGUGGCGAACGGGUGAGUAACACGUGGAUAACCUGCCUCAAGGCUGGGGAUAACAUUUGGAAACAGAUGCUAAUACCGAAUAAAACUUAGUAUCGCAUGAUAUCAAGUUAAAAGGCGCUACGGCGUCACCUAGAGAUGGAUCCGCGGUGCAUUAGUUAGUUGGUGGGGUAAAGGCUUACCAAGACGAUGAUGCAUAGCCGAGUUGAGAGACUGAUCGGCCACAUUGGGACUGAGACACGGCCCAAACUCCUACGGGAGGCUGCAGUAGGGAAUCUUCCACAAUGGGCGCAAGCCUGAUGGAGCAACGCCGCGUGUGUGAUGAAGGCUUUCGGGUCGUAAAGCACUGUUGUAUGGGAAGAAAUGCUAAAAUAGGGAAUGAUUUUAGUUUGACGGUACCAUACCAGAAAGGGACGGCUAAAUACGUGCCAGCAGCCGCGGUAAUACGUAUGUCCCGAGCGUUAUCCGGAUUUAUUGGGCGUAAAGCGAGCGCAGACGGUUGAUUAAGUCUGAUGUGAAAGCCCGGAGCUCAACUCCGGAAUGGCAUUGGAAACUGGUUAACUUGAGUGUUGUAGAGGUAAGUGGAACUCCAUGUGUAGCGGUGGAAUGCGUAGAUAUAUGGAAGAACACCAGUGGCGAAGGCGGCUUACUGGACAACAACUGACGUUGAGGCUCGAAAGUGUGGGUAGCAAACAGGAUUAGAUACCCUGGUAGUCCACACCGUAAACGAUGAAUACUAGGUGUUAGGAGGUUUCCGCCUCUUAGUGCCGAAGCUAACGCAUUAAGUA
rnacentral:rRNA from 1 species